rnacentral:rRNA from 1 species
GGGAUUGCCUUAGUAACGGCGAGUGAAGCGGCAAUAGCUCAAAUUUGAAAGCUGGCCCCUUCGGGGUCCGCGUUGUAAUUUGUAGAGGAUGAUUCGGCGAGGGCUCCCGUCUAAGUCCCUUGGAACAGGGCGUCAUAGAGGGUGAGAAUCCCGUAUGUGAUGGGCUGCCUUAGCCAUGUGAAUCUCCUUCGACGAGUCGAGUUGUUUGGGAAUGCAGCUCUAAAUGGGAGGUAAAUUUCUUCUAAAGCUAAAUACCGGCCAGAGACCGAUAGCGCACAAGUAGAGUGAUCGAAAGAUGAAAAGCACUUUGGAAAGAGAGUUAAAAAGUACGUGAAAUUGUUGAAAGGGAAGCGCUUGCAGCCAGACUUGUCCGCAGUUGCUCAGCUUGUCUCCUGACAGGCGUACUCUUCUGCGGCCAGGCCAGCAUCAGUUCGGGCGGUCGGAUAAAGACCUGGGGAAUGUAGCUCCUCUCGGGGAGUGUUAUAGCCCUGGGUGCAAUGCGGCCAGCCUGGACUGAGGAUCUCGCUUCGGCUAGGAUGCUGGCGUAAUGGCUGUAAGCGGCCCGUCUUGAAACACGGACCAAGGAGUCUAACAUCUAUGCGAGUGUUUGGGUGUCAAACCCAUGCGCGUAAUGAAAGUGAACGGAGGUGGGAACCCUCACGGGUGCACCAUCGACCGAUCCUGAUGUCUUCGGAUGGAUUUGAGUAAGAGCAUAGCUGUUGGGACCCGAAAGAUGGUGAACUAUGCCUGAAUAGGGUGAAGCCAGAGGAAACUCUGGUGGAGGCUCGCAGCGGUUCUGACGUGCAAAUCGAUCGUCAAAUUUGGGUAUAGGGGC